rnacentral:rRNA from 1 species
AGGGUGUAAACGCUGCAGACUUGGUGUUGGAGGCCCUUUGGGGGCAUUCAGUGCCGGAGAGAAGUUGUUAAGUCUGCUACUUGGGGAGUACGUCCGCAAGGAUGAAACUUAAAGGAAUUGGCGGGGGAGCACCGCAACGGGAGGAGCGUGCGGUUUAAUUGGAUUCAACACCGUAAAACUCACCAGGGAAGACUGUUACAUGAAGGCCGAGAUGAAGACUCUGCUAGAUUUUCAGAGAGGUGGUGCAAUGGCGUCAGUGACU